GUGAGGGGUAGAGGAGUGAGCGGGGGCAGAGAAAAUGGGUUUGGGGAGAGAAAAUAGGUUUGUGAUUGGUGGUGGUGGUGGAGAGAUGCAGGAGUGGGAUGGAGUGGAUUGAAGGGGAUAGAGAGUGCAAUGAAAAAUCUGCAACCUUAGAAGAGGGAUGAUAAGUGGGGUGAAGGAGGUUGAGGUUAGGUUAGGUUAGGUUAGGUUAGGUUGAAAGGAGGAAUAUGCAACCUUAGAAGAGGGAUGAAAAUGUGAGGAAGGAUAGGAAUGGGAAGGGACAGGAAAUGGAGAAAGGAGAAAGGAAGGGCAUGAAAGGAGUUUGUAGGAAAUAAAAGAGUGGAUGGUGACUUGGAAUGAGAGAAAAGAAAGAGGAGAGGGAAGGGAAGAAGAAGAGAAGAGAGAAAAGGGAUGAAGAAGGAAGAAGAGAAAGGAAGGGGAAGGAGAGAAGAGGAGAGAGGGAAGGGAGAAGGGAAGGAAAGAUAGAAGGAAAAGGAUAGAGUGGAGAGGGAGAGGAGAUGAGUGGGAACAAGGUGGGGGUGUGAGAGGUCUGGGAUGCAAGGUGGUGGAGAGGGAGGGAAUGAGAGGGUAGGUGAGUGGGAAUAAGGUGAUGAGAGAUGGCGGAGAGGGACGGAGGAGAGUGAGGAGCCAAAAAUCUCUCACGAAAAACAAAAAAAAUAUAAAAAUCGUUGCCUUUGGAAAAUAAAAAGGGCCAUAGGGGGAAAAAUCUACGCCGUGAAAAUCCACAAAACAAAAUGAAAAUGCAAAAUGCCGUGAAAAAUGCCACAAAAAUCGAAAAAUGCAAAAUACGGAAAGGCGAAAAAAUGCCCGUAGAGGAAACAUUAGUGGAGGGUGGGUGAGUGGAACAAAAUGAAUAACAAUAAUAAUAAUAAUAAUAAUGAAGCAAUAUAGUAAUAAAUCUUGGGUGCAAGGAAUCAGAACAUAUAUAAUUAAGAGUUUCCCGGACAUACGAGGAAGAAAAACCAAUGCCGUAAUCAACUUAGACAUUUUUAGAGGAGGCAAUACAGAUUAGUUCACAUGAUUCUGAUUCGGAAAUGUCAAUGUAUAGAAUGAUAGAGGAACUAAUAUAUCAACAACAGCUAAUCUUUAUAAAUAUCUCCCAAAUUACUGUAUGGAGGAGUUGAGUUAUUAAUACGAGGAAGAAAAACCAAUGCCGUAAUCAACUUAGACAUUUUUAGAGGAGGCAAUACAGAUUAGUUCACAAGAUUCUAAUUCGGAAAUGUCAAAGUAUAGAAUGAUAGAGCAACUAAUAUAUCAACAACAGCUAAUCUUUAUAUAUAUCUCCCAAAUCACUGUAUAGAGGAGUUGAGUUUUUAAUAUGAAAAGUAGAUAGGAGGAACUGUAUAAAUUUCUAAUAAGACGUAAUAUGAAAUGGCAUGUAAGAUUCCAAUUCUAAUUUGGAAAUGUCAAAGUAUAGAAUAAUAGAGGAACUAAUAUCAACAACAGCUAAUCUUUAUAUAUAUCUCCCAAAUUACUGUAUGGAGGAGUUGAGUUAUUAAUAUGAAAAGUGAAUAGGAGGAACUGUAUAAAUUUC